AAUUGACCAUCGCCCUGGGAACUGAACGGCUGAAUCCGCUCCACGAAUUCAAGUGCACGCCAAGGACGCUGAUGUGUGGCGAUUUAUGGUGGGCGGAUUUAAAUUGAUAAAAGGCUGAGCAUCUCGAGAGCGAUCUAGACUUCGUCCCUUGAUACCAGGUUGCUGAGGGUGGAGUGAGACUCCGUAAGAGUGGAUAGGAGUGACUUUCACCUCAUCAGCUGGAACCAGCGUGCGACUCGAGGGCGCGGCGGGGUUUUGGAUGAAGCAACGGACGCUAACUGCUCGAGUUUUGCCUGAUAAGUAAAUUUUUAUGUUAUCAUGUGCGAAUGAAUGGUUAAAUAUACGUCUUUCCCAGGGCGAUUUUUUUGUUAUACACAAAUAGACCGAUAGAAUUAUAUAUAAGGAUAAUACCCCUUGUAUUAUAAUUGACAAUCUGUGAUCAACUCAUUUCCAGAUUUAUUUACUGUGACUCGAUAUCUUAUAUAUAAAAUUGAUUGUGUUUUUAUCUAA